AUUGAACGCUGGCGGCAGGCCUAACACAUGCAAGUCGAACGGUAACAGGAAGCAGCUUGCUGCUUCGCUGACGAGUGGCGGACGGGUGAGUAAUGUCUGGGAAACUGCCUGAUGGAGGGGGAUAACUACUGGAAACGGUAGCUAAUACCGCAUAACGUCGCAAGACCAAAGAGGGGGACCUUAGGGCCUCUUGCCAUCGGAUGUGCCCAGAUGGGAUUAGCUAGUAGGUGGGGUAACGGCUCACCUAGGCGACGAUCCCUAGCUGGUCUGAGAGGAUGACCAGCCACACUGGAACUGAGACACGGUCCAGACUCCUACGGGAGGCAGCAGUGGGGAAUAUUGCACAAUGGGCGCAAGCCUGAUGCAGCCAUGCCGCGUGUAUGAAGAAGGCCUUCGGGUUGUAAAGUACUUUCAGCGGGGAGGAAGGGAGUAAAGUUAAUACCUUUGCUCAUUGACGUUACCCGCAGAAGAAGCACCGGCUGACUCGGUG
rnacentral:rRNA from 1 species